rnacentral:rRNA from 1 species
GACGAACGCUGGCGGCGUGCCUAAUACAUGCAAGUCGAACGCUUCUUUCCUCCCGAGUGCUUGCACUCAAUUGGAAAGAGGAGUGGCGGACGGGUGAGUAACACGUGGGUAACCUACCCAUCAGAGGGGGAUAACACUUGGAAACAGGUGCUAAUACCGCAUAACAGUUUAUGCCGCAUGGCAUACGAGUGAAAGGCGCUUUCGGGCGUCGCUGAUGGAUGGACCCGCGGUGCAUUAGCUAGUUGGUGAGGUAACGGCUCACCAAGGCCACGAUGCAUAGCCGACCUGAGAUGGUGAUCAGCCACACUGGGACUGAGACACGGCACAGACGCCUACGGGAGGCAGCAGUAGGGAAUCUUCGGCAAGGGACGAAAGUCUGACCGAGCAACGCCGCGUGAGUGAAGAAGGUUUUCGGAUCGUAAAACUCUGUUGUUAGAGAAGAACAAGGACGUUAGUAACUGAACGUCCCCUGACGGUAUCUAACCAGAAAGCCACGGCUAACUACGUG